UGCCAGAAUGUACCCUACAUCCAACAGCUUCUUAAAAUCUUUUGCUAGAUCAAGUCAGCUACUUACAUGUGUUGGGUAUACAAAGGAAGGUAAAAAAGUAGACAGGAAAACCUUUUGUUACCCAGUUCUGAUGACAAUAAAGCAGUCCACUCUUUAGAUUUUUAAAAGAGUAGAUCUCAAAUCCUUGUGCUUGUUUCAAUUCCCCUAUACGGACUGAGCCAAAACAUGAAUGAGUAGAUAGAGUUUCAAGAAGUGAUUUUUUGAGACAAAUACUAUAUUUUAAAUGGUAUUUUUUAAUUUAAUAAGCAAAAGAAAGUGUCUCUCUGAUUUCAGCUUUUAUAGGUGAGAUUAUCAUCAACUAUAUGCUAAGUUAAAUUCUGCAGACCUUUAGCCAGCAAUGCAACCAAGAGUCUGCUUAAGGUGAUUCCUUGAGCUGGAUUUCAAGUACGUGGGUUGGUGGAGCACUUAAGAGUGUCUUGUUUAUCAGAGAAAGAACGAAGAGCUGCUGGAAGGUGCUGAACUGGUCAAUGCAAUCUCAGCACUGCUGAGAUGUAGUGCUAGACAGUGCUUCAGAUAGUAUUGUUUUAUUCUGCCAAAUUGUUGCAAACCUGGUGAUGUCAUGGUGAGGCCAGCUUUAUCACAAUCUUCUAGCCGAGUGGCUCAGUUCCUUGGGGUUGUGAAUGCUAGUAGCCACAUUAUGCAUGUGUCUCCUUCCUAAGGAGGACCUCUCUGUCAUGCAAUCUGGCAGUGCUUCUGUAGAGAUCUGCUGAAUCCCUCUAGUAAAAAAAAAAAUCCAGAAAUCUGAGAGCUUUUUCUUUAUUGGGGCAAGUAAUUGCAGCUAUUUCCAAUUCCAGGUCAAAUAAUUUUCUACCCGAACCCUGAUGCCAAGCAAGAAUGAUGUUACGAUCCAAGUACUGUAUUAAAGGGGGGGGAGUUACGUUUUCCUAUUUUCUGAAGUCUGAGUGAACUGGAAUAGGAGGUUGGUCAGAGUUCUGACAAAUGCAUGCCAUUAUUAAUAUUUCUAUGACAGAUUCUAUGAUUAAUGUCGUUCUGGGUCUUGAUUGCAUGUGGCUCCCUGAAAAGAACCCCAAAUCCUGACUGCUGAAUGCUAAUAGAUCACAUCCUUUUAUAAACUCUAGAGGAAUAUAAAGGGAGUAAAAAAAUGUUUGCUUGCUUGUUUUUUCUUGGUCUGUUGCCAUCUUCAACAUCAACUAGCACUUCUGCUUUGUCUUCUUUCUGUCACAUAAGCAUGGCAGCUGAGCAGGCAAACAUGACUAGAAGCUGGGGACGUGGGAUGGUGGCAAACGGUUUGUCAGGCCUACUUUUUUUCCCCAGCUGCAUUGCUUAGGGUUACAGAAUGAGCUUCUAAAUAUUGUUGAGUAAGAAAUUGUUUAGGAUGCAGGGUUUGAUUAAAUUGCUUACUAAACUAGCUGUACAGGGUGACGCAUAAGGGUAUGGGGAACUCCAGUUCAGGAGCCAUGAAGACAGUAUGAGUCUUUCAGGGUGGCAUGAAGGCAGAUUAUUAGGGUUUUACUGCUUAAAGUCAGAGCUGGAAGGAAGCUUUUCAUUAUUUCCAUAGUCCUGGUGGUUGGAGCAUUGGCAAGCAGUGACCCAAGAGGUACAAGCCUUCUUCCUCCCAUAAGAGAUCUUGUGUGGUGCUGCAGUGGUAAAAGAUCUUGGGGGAGAGAAAGCAAUUAGUGCACCUAUCUGUAGAAAGCUCUUCAGAGGGACUAAAGGGAAAACAAUUAAUUGAUAAUGGUGGAUCAAGAAUGCAUUUUCAAUGUGCAAAGCAGUCUACGCCAAUAUGCUGGCUGGGGAAAGGUUGGGUGCUAUUUGCCAGUAGCUUUAAGUUGUUGGUAGGGAGAAACAAAGAGUGGUAGCAACUAUUGCCCAGCCUGAGGUUCUGGUGAAAGAGCAUGGCUGUGAGAUGCUCCUGUGUGGGACUAAGACUUGAGUUACUGUUUUGUUCAUACAGCAGUACGUGGUAUGCUGGGACUCUGAUCUUGAGUGCUAGCUCACUCUUCUAGAGGGUCAGAACUCAAGAGUGGCAAAGGUUUUUUAGGAGAGCUAGAGUGUAUGUCUUUACCAGACCUUAUCUGCCUCUUGAAUUCAAAGAUUGUCUUGAAACUACCUUGCAUUGACACAAAAACCCCUCAGGUACUAAAAGUCUUUGAGAACUGAAGUACUUUGGCUGUAGUGUAUGAAGUAAUAUCAAGAAAUCUUUCAAGUGUAAGUAAUAAUAGAUGGCAAUUGUGAGUACCUACAGCCCCUCCUGGGAAGACUGUGUAUAUUUCUAACUCCUGCUGAGCUAGGACUAUAAAAGACACCACGCAUAAAUAUGAGUGUGGUUCCAUGAGAGGACAGAGCUGUGCUUGUCAUGCCCAAAAGGGGACAAUCACUUUCCUUUCUUUGGAGCUUCUUUCCUCCUUGGCCGUGGCUGGUUAGUUUUGUCCUGCUUUGGUGAAUAUAGUAUCUCAACUAGAGGAUCUUAAGGAGAACACCUUGGUGGAGUGAAUGGAUUAUUCAAACUGUGUUCAGCAGCUCAAAUCUUAAAGAGCUUGAUUUUUUUUUUUUUUCCUUUGCUUUUCUGAAUGUCUUAUGUUUGUUUCAUUAUCACUAGAUGUCCAUUAAGUACUUUCUGUUCCUCCGUUUGCCUAUGGUGGGCAGCUACUCCUGAAUAAAUUAGGAGAGGCUAUAUAGAGAGGAUAGAAUUAUGUUGGCAUGUGAUUGUUGACUCACUUUCCAAAGAGAAUAGGCUCAAUUGUAUAAUCUUUUUUUUCCUCCAUUCUAACACAUCAGUUCACUAUGUUAUUGUUUCUAUUGCAGCCUGCUAAGUUUGUAGAACAAGUGAUUUCUUUGAAUGUCGAAGCUGACUUGUUUUGUAGUAUUACACAGUUAAAAGUGCCUUUUUUAUGAUGAACUCUGAUAUUUUGAACACUGCCUGUUAGAAAAAGUCUCAUCUGUAUACAGUAUGGUGGAACACGAAGCCAGCAGUGAAAUUCUUGUAUGUAGGUGUGUGUUAGGUGUGUUUCUCCACACCCCCUCCAUUCAAACAGUGUGGUCAGAAUGCAAAUAAAGAGAAAUCCUCACUUCAGAGGGGAGGUGGGGUGUGUGGCUGAUGUAAUGCUUUUACAGGGUGAUGCUAUCUGAUGGCCAGUGUACUAAGUUUCAGCCCAUAUUUAAGACUUUAACUCUUGUGCCAUGGUCUCAUGUUAAGAGUAGAAUAUUUGGGUGGGGAAGCAUAGCGUAAACAUUGAGGAAACUCUUCUUUUUUUAUUUGUAGCAAUAGAAGCUUUCAGACCUGUAAAAAGGAGCCACAAAGGAGGAGGAGAAAAUGAUUGCCAAAUUUGCACUCCAUAGGACAAGAAACUAUGGGGUUACAUUUCUGCAAGGAAGAUCUAAAUUAAGCACUGGGGAGUGUUGAAUAUGGGGAUAGGUUGCGCAAAGAGGUGUGAGGAGACAGUUUGCCAGGCUGUGUAAUAACAUUUUGAAGGUAAACAUGGGCAGAGUGGA